rnacentral:misc_RNA from 1 species
GAGCGUGACUGUGUGUGCGAAAGUGAAUUUUCUGAAGGGUGAACAGCGCGUGAUCAGAAUUUAAAAAGACAUAAGAGAGCACAGUCAUAGGAAAACCUCUAUCCGUGAAACCGAAGUACGUUUGAACGUUGAAUGUAAUUUCAAUGGAUCCACCAUCUAUCGCACCGGAAGCACCAGCCGUUUGAAAACGAUGCAGAAUAACACGCGGGAAAAAAGAAAACAAAAUACAAGUUCCACGGAAAUCCAACGUAUUGAGGGAAACAAAGCGAGAAAAAAGAAGGAACAAAGAGAGAGUUAGGAUGGAAAGAGGUAGAAGAAUACGACGAAGACUCGCGACGCACGGUUGCAUACGUGUUUACGUCAAACAUAUCCAAGGCAAAGCGAUGCUUUUUCUAUUUGCAUGCUCGACUGCGGGAUCAAACUGCGAGCAAGUUUCUGAUGGAGUUUGUAACGGACGCGGAAAAGAACGACCUGUUUGUUAUAUAGCUCCGUCUACGUAUUGCUUCAGAGACUUAUAAACGAAUAGAGUGAGAGUAAAGGCCUGUGUACAAGCAG